rnacentral:rRNA from 2 species
AGCGCAGGUGGGAAAGUAAGUCUGCUUUAAAAGUGCGGGGCUCAACCCCGUGAGGGAGUGGAAACUAUUUUUCUUGAGUGCAGGAGAGGAAAGCGGAAUUCCUAGUGUAGCGGUGAAAUGCGUAGAUAUUAGGAGGAACACCAGUGGCGAAGGCGGCUUUCUGGACUGUAACUGACACUGAGGCUCGAAAGCCAGGGGAGCGAACG